GUUAUGAUCAACUCAGUAUACCACUGGAGGCUACAGGAGCAAACAGCAAACUGUUUCUCAUGAAAGCAGGAUGUUCAAAGCAGGAUGUUGGCAAAAUGACAAACUGCAUCUGCCACCCAGAAGGAAUGCUGAGGGCAGUCAUGCCCCAAGUGCAGUGUUUUUGUGAUUAGGCACAACUGAAGCUUGUUAGCAAUAAUAUGACCCUGUGAUUAAUUGAGCGGCUGACCAAUCAUUACCUCCUCCUCCCUGCUCUUUCUACCCAAUAAAUACAAAGGGCUGUGGAAGCUCAAUGGGCUGCCUUUGCUCAUUAGAAGCAGGGAGCUCUCUUCUUCUUCCCCUGGAUCCUUCCUUUAAAAUAGUUUCUUUUGUCUUAAGUUUUCAUUUCUACGUUUGUCCCUUCAUUCAGUCUCUUAAAUGACGGUCUCAAGCAGUAACAGUAGUAAUUGCUGUAAUGACGGUCUCAAGUAGUAACCAGGGCACUCUGCCACAAGUGGCACCUGAACAGGGACUAACAGGGACUAUCAAGAACAAACGGAGACCUGAAGAGACCUGAAGGGAACUGAAGAGGUCUGCAGGGACAAAUAGAGAUAAGUAGGGAUAAAUAGAGAUAAAUAGAGACAAAUAGAGAUAGGUAAGGAAUGACAGGGACUUGCAGGAAGUAACAGGGACCAUAGGGACAGAUAGGGAUAGAUAAAGACUAGCAAAGACUAGCCGAGAUUAGCAAAGACCAGCAAGGACUAGCAGAGACUAGCAAAGACUAGCAGAAACUUGCAGGGACAGGCAGAGACAGAUAGGGACAGAUAGGGUCCUACAGGGACUUGAACGAGGAAGAUCUGCUGGAAAAGAAAAGAACUACAACCAACCAGAUGAACAAGAAACCCUGUUACAAGUCUGCUGGCAGCAACAUAAGGAAAUGAACAAAAAGUGUGGGUGCCCCCAAGGUGUGUACUACCAUGGAAUGGGAGAUUGGAGGGACACAUGGAUCCCAACCGUGGGCCUGGUUCCCCCAGUAUGAGCUGAAUACGAAGACAGAACAAACCACCAACCGGCAAUUGAAGUGACACAAAGUGAACCGGGUUCUAUAAAUUACCAUGGAAAGUGGUGAGCCAACGAUUUGGCAGAACAAAACCCUGAGGAUAUGCAAACAAAAGGGACUAUGGAAUUUGCAAUUGCAGAUUAAAAUUGAAGAAGAAAACAUUUGAGUUGCAAAUACCGUAUUAAAAGUGGACACUGCUUAUGACUGCUGUAUGCAACAGUUUUUCAGGCCCGAGGUGAUAAAUAAAAAAUUGUUUGCUCUAUUUAACCAUUGAAUGCUUGGACUACUUUUGUAUCCUUAAGAUGUGAAGUGUUCUUCACUAGAAGUAAACAUUAAGGUCAUUUACCAUUGAUUGCUUAAGGAGGAACCCAGACAUGCUCUAUUUGCAAACCGACUGCAUGAAACAAAAAGCACGGUAAUUCUGAAGCUGUUGGCUUGGAUGAAAUGAGAAUGUAAUUAAAAAGAAAAAGGUUAGCAAAAGAACAUGCUGGGAAUUGAAAAUAAAAAUCUGAAAUGAUGUCCCAGCCUGCCCUUAAGGUCUUUUCCACCAUGUAGAGAGCUACCUCAAAUGCUCUACUUGUCCCAGAGUCUAUGUUCUUUCACUACUAUUGCCUAUAUCUGUGUUUUCUGCUUUCAAUAAUCUAUUGAAAUAAUCAAAAUUAAUUACAUUCAGCAUUUUUUCUGUAUUACUCUGAUUCUAAUAAUUACCUCAAAUUUAUUUGUGCAUUUCUAUACUAGAAAGAAAAAAUAAUUUUUAGAGUUUUACUAUAUCUUCCCCUUAAUUCUAAGUUGCUUGUCACUAAUUCCUUUCCCAACACUAUGUUAUUUCCACCAAGAACAUUACCAAUAUCUUCAGGAAAAUUCCACCCCAUAUUUUAAGCCAGAUUGAUUAUUGGGAAUAUAAAUACAUUUAAGAAGGAAAGUCUUUUUGACUGUGUUUCUCCACAGACCAAUAGUAUACAAAACACAGAAGGCUUUUAAGCACAUUUCAUAGGGAUCACUGACUUAGAACAGAAGGAACCAUUUCGUGAAACACUCUCAUUUUGCACAUAAAGGAGCUGUGGCCCACAGAGGAAUAUGAUUUACUGAGAGUGACCCAGUUAGUGGCCAUAAACCAAAAGCCCCAAGAUGCUAAAUGUUUGUUAUGAAGAGUAAAAAUCCUCCCAGUUUAUAAGAAGUAACUUCAUCCUUCCAUUUUCUAUUUCCACGAUGACUCCCCUGGCUUAAAUUUUAAUCUCUAUUUUGGAUGACUCCAAAAUCUCAUUCUUCUAAAUUAAUUAUCUAAUACCACAAUGUUGCACUUAUCUUCCUACAAAUCUACUUUCAUCUGCCUUGACAAAGCCAACCCUAAUUUUCUCUAGUCCUCAUUAGAAAUUAUUGCAACAAAAAUUCACAUCCAGUCUGAAGUUUGGGAGCCAGAAAAGAAUUUUCCCAUUAAGAUGAGACAGUAUCAAUUAUUAAGCAGAGGAAGACACAAGAGGGAAAGCAGCUUUCACAUGAAAAAAAAAGAACUCUGAUUUUCUGACACAUUUUGUCAUUGCAGUCAAACUUUCAGAGUUAGAACUAGAGACCUAGAUAUUAGCUAACCCAGCAUUUUCCAAGUAUUCCUCGGAACUCUAGAGGCACAGCAUAGUACUGGUAAUGAUUUUGUGGCAGGAUAGAUUAAGGAAACCUCACAGUUAUACCAAGUUAAAUUCAUUUAUUUCAUGUAAAAUUCUGAUAGCCUUUUAUGCUACUAGGCCUAGUGAUACUCCAAAAUUAUUGGCCAUAUAUCUGAAAUUUAUUUCAGCAAGAAACCCUUUAAAGAGCAUCCCGCAGAGUUAGUGUUUUGAGGGAUAUCAUUGGGGAAAAUGCUGAUCUAGACCAAUUCAACAAAUUGUAACUUAGUUAACACCAGAGUCAAAACAAAAACCAAGUCUACUCAUGUCUGUCUUAGGCCCUUUUGGUCACAAAAACACGUUCAAACCACUUCAAUUAAGAAAAUGGUGAGAGGGGAAAAGACAAGCAGGGAACCUUAUCCCAGGUGGGCUGAUCACAGGACUUCCAAGGCUGUCCCUUAGAAGAGUCACGAUAAUGGCAUCUCUAGCACAAAACUCAAAUUUAGUUUUAAUUCUUAGUCGAAUAAUAAUACAGUAAAAUUUAUUGCAUGCAUAAGGAUAAUACAUUAAAACUACUUAAAUUACAUUUUAGGGCCGGGCGCGGUGGCUCACGCCUGUAAUCCCAGCACUUUGGGAGGCCGAGGCGGGUGGAUCACGAGGUCAGGA
rnacentral:lncRNA from 10 species